rnacentral:lncRNA from 1 species
AUGUUUUCUUUGUUAGUCCAGGUCAAAUGCCCUUUGAAAGGGAGCAGAGCGCCGCGCGGCGCUCCGACCGAACGCCCCUUUGCCUCCGUGCAGCCUGGCCACCCUGUCGCCUUUGGUGCUGAUUGGAACCAGGGUCUCCCUCGCUCUCCUUUCCCUCCCAAGCUCCGAGUCUGCAGCGUAAGCUCAUUUCUUAGACUCCUGAGCAACGUUCAGGGCAGAGCUAGUUAUUCUGCUCUCAGGCUCAGAGGGAGGGAACGCGAGGCGCCAGCUGCCUCCCGGAGAGCCCUGGAAGCAAGGGCUGAGCUCCUGGCCUUAAAGGCUUUUGCAGAGCUAAGCCUGAACGGUUUCCAUGGGUUGCUGUUGCUUUAGUAGUAGUCCAUCGAAUCCAGAGNNNNNNNNNNNNNNNNNNNNNNNNNNNNNNNNNNNNNNNNNNNNNNNNNNNNNNNCAUUUAUGUGAGUAUGUGAUAGCCAGAGCAUCUUCUGGCUAUUCUGCCAAUUUCCUGAAGGUCGCCUUGGAUUUUUUAUUGCUUGUGCUAAAAGAAGCAUCUGGCUUGUAGUUUUAACAUCUGAGAGGGAACGCAGAAGAAAAAACAGUUGCUGCAUCAGUGUCUGUAGAAGAAAUAACUGCUUCAUUCUACCAGUAGCUCUGCCAGGGUGUGUGCCGGUUUCCUGGGGAGAAUGUUUCUACAUUUGCAGAGGCCUUUGUUCAGACACCAGAUGAUUCUGCCCUGAUCAGAGGUGAUAGUUAUAAAAGGUGUGAGUGCCAUAGCUGCCAGCUGAAAAACACUGAUUAAUUUUUAACUCAAAGCUCUUCUCCACACUGAAGUUCUAGAGACAGGCUAAGAUCACAGUUUCCUUUUCCUGCUACCAAACCACAGACUGACAUUCCUUGUAAGUAUAUCCAGUGGGUAUAUUCUUUGCUCAUUGCUCCUUUCAAACAGAAUAAGGCCUUUUUUGAAAAUUGCCAAUUAACCGUCUUCCUCUUUUUUCCUUCAGCUGGCAGAUUCUUUGUAAAACAUUAAUAUCUGUAGGUUUUUUUUCCAGCAGGUUAGUUAAUAUUUGAUUCAUAACCUCAAAAGGAAACGGAUAUUUAUCCAAACCAUGAAGGAAAUAAAUGCCUUCUAAAAGUAAUUGUAGUUACGUUA